rnacentral:rRNA from 1 species
AGCGGCAGACGGGUGAGUAACACGUGGGAACAUACCCUUCGGUACGGAAUAACUCAGGGAAACUUGUGCUAAUACCGGAUACGUUCGCGAGAAGAAAGAUUUAUCGCCGAAGGAUUGGCCCGCGUCUGAUUAGCUAGUUGGUGAGGUAACGGCUCACCAAGGCGACGAUCAGUAGCUGGUCUGAGAGGAUGAUCAGCCACAUUGGGACUGAGACACGGCCCAAACUCCUACGGGAGGCAGCAGUGGGGAAUAUUGGACAAUGGGCGAAAGCCUGAUCCAGCCAUGCCGCGUGAGUGAUGAAGGCCCUAGGGUUGUAAAGCUCUUUUACCUGGGAAGAUAAUGACGGUACCAGGAGAAUAAGCCCCGGCUAACUUCGUGCCAGCAGCCGCGGUAAUACGAAGGGGGCUAGCGUUGUUCGGAUUUACUGGGCGUAAAGCGCACGUAGGCGGAUCUUUAAGUCAGAGGUGAAAUCCCAAGGCUCAACCUUGGAACUGCCUUUGA